UUAGUGACUGAAAAACCACCACAACAAAGUAUUCCUUUGUAUAUUCAUACCACAUCUUCUUUAUCCAGUAAAUAUCUUUUCAUAGGUUCUCACUGAACCUGGUUCCAAUCAAGAUAAAGACUAUCUGUACUCUUGAAAUCCUACUUGCACAUUUGAAAUUCUACUUGCACCCGCAGCCACAAAUCAUAGCUAUUUUCAAGGUCUCUAUGAUACAACUUAAAGUUUGAUAGCCAGAAAGUAAAAUGAAAUGACAAUGUAGUAAUAUUGCAGUCAACCAAAUGACUGGUUAGCUAUAUGGUGGAGCAGUUAGCAGGGACUGUGAGGAAGGAAAGCUUGUUUGCUUUUCUUGAAAGUUCAGAUGCUGAAAGGUAACUGGAGAUAUGGGGAGGAAGGGCUAGAACACAAAGGCUGGCUGCCUCAUAGCAUGUGAAUUCAAACCAGAGUUUAUAUCUCAUCUCGGCCACUGUCUAGAUGUGUAUAUUGGGGCAAAUCCCUCAGCUCCUUGAGUCAUAGUCUCCUCAUCAUAAAAUGGGUGAGUGGUAGGGGGAGGGGUACACAUCUUAAGGGCUGUUGUGAUGAUUAAUGUGUGAUGUGUAAGACACGCUUAGCUCAGUGCUCGUACUCAAGAAAUCUGCUAAUGUUACAAUGACUAUGGACUGAGCUCUGGAUAAUGUAAAAAGUACUCUACAAUACUGCACUUUCCUAAAGUCAACACUCAUUUUGCAUCUAGAAUGUUCUACGCAUUGUCCUUUGCCCUCAAGGACCUGGAGCAUCCCAGAGAACCACAGAUAAGCGAUUACCAUUGGGCAACAUGCUGAGCAGUGCAGCAGGCAUGUAAAUGCAGCAAGUCACCCCUUUUUAUCUUCAGGGGAUUGGUUCUGUGGACCGUAAAAGCCCAGAAAACUGCAAAUAGGAAAAGAGUUUAUUUGGGGGUCUGAAAAAUUGUAUUUCAGGAGACAUAGAUUCAGCUAAAGCCAAAAGAGUGUUACAAGGAAAUGAAAGAGUCAGGGGCUUAUAAAGGCAAAAGCCAUGAGGCUGUAUUCUGACAUAAGAAAAGAAAUAUUUGUCCUUAAUGGCUGACACCAGUUGUUUUAAGGUAAGUGUCAAGUAAGCAUCUUGAGUUUCUGGCAUUUGUUCUGGUUGCUUGCAUUAAGACAGUAGUAGUCAAAAGGUCUGAUUCUAUCUAGGAGAGAUGAGUACAAGCCACCCUCAAUGGCUCCACAGCUUCAUUUAGAGAGCUCUCUUAGCAACACUGGUGUCAUAUUGAUUUUCCUUUCACAGCACCAGGACCCCUUGCAGAUACAAAAAUCUGUGGCUGCUCAAGUCCCUUAUAUAAAAUAAUGUAGAAUAAUCUGCCCUCUGUAUCUACAGAACCAACUGCACUACUCUGAAAACACAGGCACUUUGUCUAACAACGAGCAUUUUCUGAGUACAUCACAGGGACCAGACAUUAUUUUCAGUGCUGAAGGAUCAUAAAUGAAUAUGAUUCCUGUGUUUAAACAGUUCAUAAUCCAGUAGGAAAUGACUGGAUUGUUCCCAAUAGGUACAGUGUGUACUGAGAUCUCACCUAGAUGUCCAUUCACACUACAUGUGAGCACAGAGAAGAUGCAGUCAGAUUCACCUGAUGAUAGGAAGGGUUUCAGGAGGUGAAUCUGAACUGGGUCCAGAAGCAGGUGAUGCCCAGGCAGAAGUGAGAGCACUGCGGGGAAAGAGAUUUCCGAGUGAGCAUGGAGGUCAGAGAGACGCAUGACGUCAUUGGAGGGCUUAGGAGCAGGGAAGGAUCAAGAACCUUUGAAGUGAUGGGAAGUAAGGAUGGAUAGAUUAGCUUGAGGAUGCCCUGGAUAUGCCACCAACACCAGAGAGCUCUUUGAUUUAUCCUUCAGGUGGUGGGAAACAGGAAGGAAUUUAAUCCUACCCUCCGUUAUAUUCCAAGCCUGGACAAUCUUACAGAGGCUGUCUGAGAUCUUCCUCUCUGUUUUCAAAUCCUUGUGAAAAGAAAAAAAACUACCAUCUGGUCUUGAGGAAAACCAAAGACUGCAAGGAGAAGCCAAGCGUGGGCAGACUGACAAUGCCCAGAGCAAAUUUGGCCGAGCAUAAUGAGACUCAUAAGCAGUAAUGUGUUGCUUUAACUUGUCCUUGGCACUGGGAGACCUCAGGGAAACCACCCAGCAGACUCAAUCUCCUUUGUCCCUGCCUCUUCCUCUCCUUUCACACCCUAGUUUCUUCCUUUGCUUUGCUGCCAUUUUUUUUUUUUUUAAUAGACCAGCUGAUUGCAGGAAACUUUCCCUGUUCAGAGUCUGGAAAGUCAUAACGGAAACCACUCAAUUAAACUGAACUCUGAGUAGUAUUCUCAGGGCAAAACUUCUCCCUCUGCCUCUACCCCUUGCGGUUUUGGGAUGCUCAUUUGGAGGUGCCAUUGGUCUCGGGGCACAACAGGAUGUACAGCUGUACCUGCCCGCCCUCUCUGAAGCCAGCUCCCGGCUGAGCCCAGGCUGCCUGCUUGAGUCACUUGGACUGGAUGGCCCAGACCAGGAGAUGCGGAGGAAGACGUGGUUAGACUCAGCCAAAUGUCCCUGUCUGACCUCUGCUCUUUUUCUGUCCCCAGAGGAAAGGUGGUGCUUUCCUGCCCACGGAACUUAAUUUCCAUUUCCCCAUUCCUUACAAUGCUGUACUCCUGUCCCACCUCUUGGGGAGAAUGGGAUUUGGUGUUUCACAUGGACAGCACUCUGCAGAAUCCCCUUUUUCUCAAAACCAAGGGCUUUGAUGGGCCUACUGGGAAGACUACACGUUAAAAGCCAGAGGUUAUCCCCCUUCUCUGCUGGUUCCAUUUCUUAGUUUCUUUGCACGUCCUGCCUCCCUCAGGGUGAGGCUCGGUUUCUGGCAGGUCCCCAUGACCCAGCCACAGUGGGAGCAUCUCGUAACCCAUGUUCACCCUGACUAAACCAGGGGAACCCCUAAUCAGAUCUCAGCUGGUGAGGCAGCAGCCAACAGUGGCAUGAGGCAAGAUGUUAAUUCCCUGCCCAGGAAAUAAACCUGGGUAGCCUAGAUGAGAGCCAGGAAUCCUAGCCACUAGACCAGCAAGGGCUAGAGGCUAAAAGCUAUUGUUUCCCUGGAUCUCAGCCCCAAGUGAAAAAUGUGUUUAUCAUGGAGGCAGAAACUGGAAAUGCAGCUACAAAAUUUAUUAUUAGAGACAUAGCACAACAACAAGUGGGAGAGCACAUAGAGAUGUAGUUGUUUAGUUAAGAGAGGAGCGAGGCAGAGAUACACACCCAGAGAGAAGAGGAGUGCAGCAAAGACGCGCACUCAGUCGUGUCCAACUCUUUGCCAACCCCAUAGACUACAGCCCACCAGGCUCCUCUGUCCAUGGGGAUUCUCCAAGCAAGAAUACUAGAGUGGGUUGCCAUGCCCUCCUCCAGGGGACCUUCCUGACCCAGGAAUCGAUCCCGCAUUUCUUGCAUCUCCUUCAUUGGCAGGCGAGUUCUUUAUGACUAGCAGCACCUAGGAGGCCCAGCAAAGAGGUGGUUAAGUCAUUUAUGUAGGUCAGUUCUUCUGGGUCUUUGUCUUCCUUCAGGCCAAUUAUCUGGUUUCUUUUUCUACAUCUGACCUACCCUGGGACCCUCCCCUGGGGUGUACACACACCCCUCAGCCAAGAUGGACCUCGAAGUGAAGGCUUCUGAGAGAAGCAAGCCUCAUUAUGGUCUGGCAUUGGCUACAAAGUGACAAACUGUCAUGUCUGACUCUGCAAUCCCAGAGACUACAGCCUGCCAGGCAAGAAUACUGGAGUGGGUUGACAUUUCCUUCUCCUGGGGAUCUUCCUGACCCAGGGAUCGAACCCAGGUCUCCUGCAUUGCAGGCAGAUUCUUUACAAGCUAAGCUACUAGAGAAGACCCCUGGUCUGGCAUUAACCCCUGACUUUUGACCCACAAAGAGCCUUUCUGGGCAUGUAUAGCAUCUCCCUUGUCCCAAAAGAGUGGGGAGUGGAGAUCCCUUAAUCUUUUACUCAGAGUUAUGCUUCUCUUUUUCCUUGCUAUGACUAUUACCUUCAGGUGUUUACAAGAGACAAACACUGACUAUUUACCUUGUUUCUGUUGUUAAUUCCAUUUUGGAGGGCAAAGAGAAGGCUGAUUGUAAAUGCCUCAACUGGAGCCCAUCUAACUCUUGUCUCAGGAAAUGCAAACGGGAGACUAGUUGUAAAUGGCUAACCUGGAGCCCAUCUAUCUCCUGCAUCAGCUCUUCCAACCACUUUCAGGCCCCGAGGAAGCACCACCCCUCUGAGCGUGACUCUACUCCCACAGCAACCAAGGGACCAGAUGACAGUGGAAGUGGGGAGGAGUUUCUGCCCACAGGGAUUACUUGAACCAAAGUAGACCCAGGGAUCCUCCCUGCUAUGGAUCAUCCUGAGGCUCAGUUUUUAGGUAUGCCCUGCCAGAACUGUCCCAUGUCACCAGGAAACCUGUCACGUUUUAUCGUGAAGCUGUGACCAACUCGUUAACAAGUACUCACUUUCCUCCUUCCCUGCCUUGCUUUUCUUUUUCUCUCACUUUCACAGCUCUGCCGUUGCACCUCCCAGAGAAGCAUUAGCAGGCACGCUUUACCUCACACUGUUUUCUAGGGAAAAACACUGACCCAUUAAUUUGGUUCAUUUUUUCCUAGGUUGGCCUGGGCAGGUUUUAAUCAUCUCAGCAAAGAAGAUUAUUCCUUGCUUCUGUCUUGGAGCAGAACACAUUCAGAUCUGUAGAUCCCUGGCAAGCAUUUAGUCAGAAGGAGAGCGAUCACAGCCCUAUUAACAAGAGGGGAAAAAAGAAGUGGAAACAAUCUAAGCUUCCCAAAUUGGACAGUGUUAUUUUAAAUGCUAGAUAGACAUUUAAGAUAAUGUUGCAGACAUAUUUAUUGACAAACUUAUUUAUGAUUGUUAAUUGAAAAAAAUUAAAUCUAAGCACAGUGUAAUCUCACUUUUGCAAGAAACAAAAAAAGAUUAUCUCUUUGUAGAGAAAAGCUGGAGGAAGUUGUAUGUCAAAUGCAGACAGAAGUUGUCAUCUGGUGGUGGGAAAAAAGCACCCUGGGCCUGCCUGGUGCUCAUAAAUUCACAUUCUACAGCAAUAUUCCGUCAUUUUAGAAGAAACCGGAGAUGAAGAUCCCAGAGACACUCUGGAAGAUCAAGGAUAACAGAGAAACUUUUACUUUUGGCGAGAAUUAUUAAGAGGAAGUGCUUUGCAAUUAUUCCAAUGAUGUAUAUUUGUGGAAGUUUGAAGGUAAUAUAUCCAUGUCUCUAUCAAGAGAAGGUUACGGUAUUGCUGCUGUGACUCUGUCUUAUGAGGCGGUUCAUAAAGCAUGACCACUUGUUUCAUUACUUUAUUAAUAAUUUUACUCUUCCUGAAAUAAAUGUAUUGUUUCUUAAA